AAAUGUCAAAGACUGAAACCGGUACUAACCAUUACUAAAUGUAUUUCAUGAUAAACUUAUUUUAGCAUUUUCUAUCAUGUCUUAUUUUCCCUAUUUAU